rnacentral:rRNA from 1 species
GAUGAACGCUGGCGGCGUGCCUAAUACAUGCAAGUCGAGCGAACAGAUGAGGAGCUUGCUCCUCUGACGUUAGCGGCGGACGGGUGAGUAACACGUGGAUAACCUACCUAUAAGACUGGGAUAACUUCGGGAAACCGGAGCUAAUACCGGAUAAUAUAUUGAACCGCAUGGUUCAAUAGUGAAAGACGGUUUUGCUGUCACUUAUAGAUGGAUCUGCGCCGCAUUAGCUAGUUGGCAAGGUAACGGCUUACCAAGGCAACGAUGCGUAGCCGACCUGAGAGGGUGAUCGGCCACACUGGAACUGAGACACGGUCCAGACUCCUACGGGAGGCAGCAGUAGGGAAUCUUCCGCAAUGGGCGAAAGCCUGACGGAGCAACGCCGCGUGAGUGAUGAAGGUCUUCGGAUCGUAAAACUCUGUUAUUAGGGAAGAACAAAUGUGUAAGUAACUAUGCACGUCUUGACGGUACCUAAUCAGAAAGCCACGGCUAACUACGUG